UUUGCAUACCUCCUGCCGCACGAGCUCGCCGACCUACGCGUCGAUCCGGUUUUAAGUGGCAAGCGGGAUAAGGGAUAGAUCUAGUACACCGCAUACCAUCCGACCGAUUUCCCGAAGCGGUAGCACACCUCACUAGUCGAGGAGGUUUCCCCUGCGGUAAGUAUUGAUACAUCAUAGCGAUCGGUUUGCAAGAGACAAUGUAGGCAGUUUAUUAAUAUUUUUUAUUUUUCUUACUAUUUGCAUGCCUCUUGCCGCACGAGCUCGCUGACCUACGCGUCGAUCCGGAUUUAAGUGGCAGCGGGAAAAGGAAUCUACAACGCCAACCAUCCGACAGUGUUCACGAUAAGAAAGGAAACGUCUCUUAUCGUGGGGUUUCCCCUGCGAGAAUCGUUUUUCAGUACACAUGCCACAACACACUAUCGGUAUUCGUUUUCCUUCAUCUAACUGUAAGAAACAGUCACUGCGCAACAUCCUACGAUAGCCAAGCAUAUAGACGAAACAUUAAUGUUGUAUCAUGCUAACCCGUGACAGGCAAGUGCUCAGUAACUCACGCACGUCCUUCAACGCACACAUCAUGAAACAUCUGGUGAAUGAGAUUGCUGAGCAAAACACUCACCAAACGGAAUAGAAUGGAUGAGUUUAUUUUAUGCAUCAUGUACCUCCCUUUUUGCCUUAUAAUGUGACCAGUGCCUUAUUUUUUUUUCUUUUGUUUUAUGUUAGCAUAGGAUUAGUAUUAGUAUUAGUUUGGUUUAAUUAGAUAUAAAAUUUUAUUGUGCUAAUAUACGCAUGGACUAUUGAAACAUAUAA